GGAGGGUUCGCAUAGUGGCCUAGUGCGCCCGCCUGCUAAGCGGGUUUCGGGGAGACUCGAUCGAGGGUUCGAAUCCCUCACCCUCCG
rnacentral:tRNA from 1 species